rnacentral:lncRNA from 1 species
AUCUUCAGUUUGACAAUCUUUUAUCCCUUUUUGGUUUUGGACUAACCCAGACCAUACCUCAAUCUCUUUCCAAUCCAAUUUUUUUUUUCAUAUAAGCCUUUCAAGGCUGUCCCAGGAUGAGCUCCUGACUGGCUGUCCCACGUACAAAAGUCCGUGAGAGACUGUCGCAGGCAUAAGCUCCCGACGGACUGUUCCAGGUAUGAGCUCCUGGCCGGC